rnacentral:tRNA from 1 species
GGCGGCGUAGCCAAGCGGCCUAAGGCGACGGUUUGCAAAACCGUUAUCCGUGGGUUCGAAUCCCACCGCCGCCU